UACGGAGGGGGCUAGCGUUUUUCGGAAUUACUGGGCGUAAAGCGCUCGUAGGCGGGCCUGCAAGUCGGGGGUGAAAGCCCGAGGCUCAACCUCGGAACUGCCUUCGAUACUGCGGGUCUCGAGUCCGGGAGAGGUGAGUGGAAUUCCUAGUGUAGAGGUGAAAUUCGUAGAUAUUAGGAAGAACACCAGUGGCGAAGGCGGCUCACUGGCCCGGUACUGACGCUGAGGCGCGAAAGCGUGGGGAGCAAACAGG
rnacentral:rRNA from 1 species